GUUUUUCUCUGCAAAAUGUCUCCGCUUCUCUGACACUUGAACCCAGCACCUCGUGUGGCUCAACACAGCAAAGACAUCUCAGGUGACAGCGAGAUUGUAAAUAAUAUGUACGAGACCGACCCUGAUCUCCUUGCUGGCGAAAGUGCAGAGGAGGAAACAGAGGACAGUAUUAUGUCCCCCAUCCCUGUCGGACCUCCGUCACCCUUUCCCACCAGUGAGGACUUCACUCCCAAGGAGGGCUCACCUUAUGAAGCUCCUGUCUACAUUCCUGAUGACAUUCCAAUCCCACCAGAUUUUGAACUCAGAGAAUCUUCGAUUCCAGGGGCAGGGCUAGGGAUUUGGGCCAAAAAGAAGAUUGAAGUUGGGGAAAGAUUUGGACCUUAUGUGACAGUACAGAGGAGCACGUUAAAGGAAGCAAACUUUGGAUGGGAGCAAAUACUGACGGAUCCUGAGGUGACUUCCCAAGAGGGCAACAUAAAAAAGAUUGCUGAUGACCUGGGAAAUGAGAAAUUCUGUGUUGAUGCUAGCCAGAGUGGAGCUGGGAACUGGCUGAAAUACAUCCGUGUGGCCUGUUCCUGCGAUGAACAGAAUCUAGCUGUGUGUCACGUUAAUGACCAGAUCUAUUAUAAAGUUAUUAAAGAAAUUGAGCCAGGAGAAGAGCUCUUGGCGUAUACGAAGGAAGGUGGCUAUUCGCUCGGGAACAUGGCGCCCAGCAUGGAAGAAGAGCACACGUUUCGUUGCGAGGACUGCGAUGAGCUUUUCCAGUCCAAGCUCGACCUGCGGCGACACAAGAAGUACGCCUGCAGCUCCGUGGGCUCGCUCUAUGAGACGCUGAACGAGGAGAUCAAGCAGGAGGCUCUUGGAGAUGGACAGGUCUAUGAGUGCAAAGACUGUGAGAGGAUGUUCCCCAAUAAAUACAGGUAAUGGAGAACUGCCGGCUGCUCC
rnacentral:lncRNA from 1 species